rnacentral:rRNA from 1 species
CGGUCUGGUGGCGAGUGGCGAACGGGUGAGUAAUGUAUCGGAACGUGCCCAGUAGCGGGGGAUAACUACGCGAAAGCGUAGCUAAUACCGCAUACGCCCUACGGGGGAAAGCAGGGGAUCUUCGGACCUUGCACUAUUGGAGCGGCCGAUAUCGGAUUAGCUAGUUGGUGGGGUAACGGCCUACCAAGGCGACGAUCCGUAGCUGGUUUGAGAGGACGACCAGCCACACUGGGACUGAGACACGGCCCAGACUCCUACGGGAGGCAGCAGUGGGGAAUUUUGGACAAUGGGGGAAACCCUGAUCCAGCCAUCCCGCGUGUGCGAUGAAGGCCUUCGGGUUGUAAAGCACUUUUGGCAGGAAAGAAACGUCGCGGGCUAAUACCUCGCGAAACUGACGGUACCUGCAGAAUAAGCACCGGCUAACUACGUGCCAGCAGCCGCGGUAAUACGUAGGGUGCAAGCGUUAAUCGGAAUUACUGGGCGUAAAGCGUGCGCAGGCGGUUCGGAAAGAAAGAUGUGAAAUCCCAGAGCUUAACUUUGGAACUGCAUUUUUAACUACCGGGCUAGAGUGUGUCAGAGGGAGGUGGAAUUCCGCGUGUAGCAGUGAAAUGCGUAGAUAUGCGGAGGAACACCGAUGGCGAAGGCAGCCUCCUGGGAUAACACUGACGCUCAUGCACGAAAGCGUGGGGAGCAAACAGGA